AGAGUUUGAUCCUGGCUCAGGAUGAACGCUGGCGGUCUGCUUAACACAUGCAAGUCGAACGGGACUCUUCGGAGUUCAGUGGCGGACGGGUGAGUAACGCGUGAGAAUCUGCCUUCGGGUUGGGGACAACCACUGGAAACGGUGGCUAAUACCCAAUGUGCCGCAACGUGGAAGAUUUAUCGCCCGAAGAUGAGCUCGCGUCUGAUUAGCUAGUUGGUGGGGUAAAGGCUCACCAAGGCAACGAUCAGUAGCUGGUCUGAGAGGAUGACCAGCCACACUGGGACUGAGACACGGCCCAGACUCCUACGGGAGGCAGCAGUGGGGAAUUUUCCGCAAUGGGCGAAAGCCUGACGGAGCAAGACCGCGUGAGGGAGGAAGGCCCUUGGGUUGUAAACCUCUUUUGUCAGGGAAGAACACAAUGACGGUACCUGACGAAUCAGCCUCGGCUAACUCCGUGCCAGCAGCCGCGGUAAUACGGAGGAGGCAAGCGUUAUCCGGAAUUAUUGGGCGUAAAGCGUCCGCAGGUGGCUUAUCAAGUCUGCCGUCAAAGACCGGGGCUUAACCCUGGAAAGGCGGUGGAAACUGACAAGCUAGAGUGCCGUAGGGGUAGAGGGAAUUCCCGGUGUAGCGGUGAAAUGUGUAGAGCUCGGGAAGAACAUCGGUGGCGAAAGCGCUCUACUGGACGGCAACUGACACUCAGGGACGAAAGCUAGGGGAGCGAAUGGGAUUAGAUACCCUAGUAGUCC
rnacentral:rRNA from 1 species